CCUUGGACUUGGCAGACUCGUCUCUAUGAUUUGAGAUGCUAAUUGGAAGAGAAUUAAGCAGCCCCUUCGAACUCUCGAUUUUUGCCGUGAAUGGAGGUGGAGUGUAAUCAAGCAGCUACGUGCUUGAGGGGAAGGAGAGUAAUCAGGCAGCUACAACUACGUGCCUUGAGGGGAAGGAAAGUAAUCAAGCAGGAAGUGGCGGAGUGGAUCAAGCAGGAGGUGGAGGAAUGCUACGUGGCUUGAAUGGGAGGAGAGUAAUCAAGGAGAAAGAGGUGGAGGGGAGCUAUCAGCAAUUUAUGCAAAGAGAUUUGACAUGGGCUCUUUGGGCUCCAAAGAACAAAUUAUUUUAGUGAUUUGGGUUUUGAGACAGUGGACUCUUUCUUUUUAAAUUAGGCCCACAAGAAAUAAAUCCUUUUAUUUUUACUAUACUUUAUUUUUUGAAUUUAAAUCAAAAAAUUUAGCAAUUAAUACUUUAGUGGUAUGCUAAUUUCUAAACAUAAAUUACGACUCUUAUCGAU